rnacentral:rRNA from 1 species
AAUAGAUACCCCGGUAGUCCACGCCCUAAACGAUGAUAACUCGAUGUUUGCGAUACACAGUAAGCGUCUUAGCGAAAGCGUUAAGUUAUCCACCUGGGGAGUACGGUCGCAAGAUUGAAACUCAAAGGAAUUGACGGGAGCCCGCACAAGCGGAGGAGCAUGUGGUUUAAUUCGAUGAUACGCGAGGAACCUUACCCGGGCUUGAAAGUUAGUGAAUGAGACAGAGACGUCUCAGUCCUUCGGGACACGAAACUAGGUGCUGCAUGGCUGUCGUCAGCUCGUGCCGUGAGGUGUUAGGUUAAGUCCCGCAACGAGCGCAACCCCUAUGUUUAGUUGCCAGCAUGUAAUGAUGGGGACUCUAAACAGACUGCCUGUGCAAACAGAGAGGAAGGUGGGGACGACGUCAAGUCAUCAUGGCCCUUACGUCCGGGGCUACACACGUGCUACAAUGGAUGGUACAGCGGGCAGCUACAUAGCAAUAUGAUGCUAAUCUCUAAAAGCCAUUCACAGUUCGG